rnacentral:snRNA from 1 species
UUGAAGGCCGAAGAGGGGAAA